rnacentral:miRNA from 1 species
CCUGGAACUCACUUUGUAGGCCAGGCUGGCCUCAAACUCACAGAGAUCUGCCUGCCUCUGUCUCCUGCGUGCUGGGA